rnacentral:rRNA from 1 species
UGCCUGGCGGCCAUAGCGCGGUGGACCCACCUGUUCCCAUGCCGAACACAGAAGUGAAACGCUGUAGCGCCGAUGGUAGUGUGGCAGAUGCCAUGCGAGAGUAGGACACUGCCAGGCA